rnacentral:lncRNA from 1 species
CCCGACCGAUACCACCAUUCAUUACCGUGAACCAGCCCCUCUUCAGUAUAGGCAGGUCUUUCUUUAGAACAGAUUCAUUCCAGAACAGAAAACCAAAUUGAGAAUCAGAAUCGCGCUUGGAGCCUAUCGCUAGAACGAACAACACGCCAGCGACCAGACUUGCUACGCUAGUAGGGCUUGUGGGCAAAGCAAGAGAUCUUAUUUUAUCCUUAAGGAUAGUGGGGGCCGAAUCAAC